rnacentral:rRNA from 1 species
GACGAACGCUGGCGGCGUGCCUAAUACAUGCAAGUCGAGCGAACAAACGAGGUGCUUGUUCCUCUUGGAUUAGCGGCGGACGGGUGAGUAACACGUGGGUAACCUACCUUUUAGACUGGGAUAACUUUGGGAAACCAGUGCUAAUACCGCAUAAUAUCUUUAAACGCAAGGUUCAAUUGUGAAAGAUGCUUUUGCUGUCCCCUAUAAAUAGCUCCCCUUCGCAUUAGCAAGUUGGUAAGGUAACGGCUUACCAAGGGGACGAUGCGUGGCCGACCUGGGAGGGUGAUCGGCCACACUGGAACUGAGACACGGUCCAGACUCCUACGGGAGGCGGCAGUAGGGAAUCUUCCGCAAUGGGCGAAAGCCUGACGGAGCAACGCCGCGUGAGUGAUGAAGGUCUUCGGAUCUUAAAACUCUGUUAUUAGGGAAGAACAAAUGUGUAAGUAACUAUGCACGUCUUGACGGUACCUAAUCAGAAAGCCACGGCUAACUACGUG